AUUGAACGCUGGCGGCAGGCCUAACACAUGCAAGUCGAGCGGAGCGGCGGACGGGUGAGUAAUACCUAGGAAUCUGCCUGGUAGUGGGGGAUAACGUUCGGAAACGGACGCUAAUACCGCAUACUAUCAGAUGAGCCUAGGUCGGAUUAGCUAGUUGGUGAGGUAAUGGCUCACCAAGGCUACGAUCCGUAACUGGUCUGAGAGGAUGAUCAGUCACACGGGAACUGAAACACGGUCCAGGCGCCUACGGGAGGCAGGAGUGGGGAAUAUUGGACAAUGGGCGAAGGCCUGAUCCAGCCAUGCGGCGUGUGUGAAGAAGGUCUUCGGAUUGUAAAGCACUUUAAGUUGGGAGACGUUACCGACAGGAUAAGCACGGGCUAACUCUGUGCCGGCGGCCGCGGUAAUUC
rnacentral:rRNA from 1 species